rnacentral:rRNA from 1 species
CCCUUAGAUGUCCUGGGCUGCACGCGCGCUACACUGAUGUGUCCAGUAAGCACCUAACCUCUUCCGAACGGAACGGGUAACCUUUGCAAAGCACAUCGUGAUGGGGAUAGAUUAUUGCAAUUAUUAGUCUUGAACGAGGAAUUCCUAGUAAGCACAAGUCAUCAGCUUGUGUUGAUUACGUCCCUGCCCUUUGUACACACCGCCCGUCGCUCCUACCGAUUGAAUGUUCCGGUGAGCUCUUCGGACUGCGCGGUCUGCAGUUUCUGCGUUCCGUGCGGAAAGUUGCGCAAACCUUAACAUUUAGAGGAAGGAGAAGUCGUAACA